rnacentral:rRNA from 1 species
AUUGAACGCUGGCGGAAUGCUUUACGCAUGCAAGUCGAACGGCAGCACGGGUGCUUGCACCUGGUGGCGAGUGGCGAACGGGUGAGUAAUACAUCGGAACGUACCCAGUUAUGGGGGAUAACUAACCGAAAGGUUAGCUAAUACCGCAUACGCCCUGAGGGGGAAAGCGGGGGACCGUAAGGCCUCGCGGAAUUGGAGCGGCCGAUGUCUGAUUAGCUAGUUGGUGAGGUAAAGGCUCACCAAGGCGACGAUCAGUAGCAGGUCUGAGAGGAUGAUCUGCCACACUGGAACUGAGACACGGUCCAGACUCCUACGGGAGGCAGCAGUGGGGAAUUUUGGACAAUGGGCGAAAGCCUGAUCCAGCCAUUCCGCGUGAGUGAAGAAGGCCUUCGGGUUGUAAAGCUCUUUCGGCAGGGAAGAAACGCUCUGGGAUAAUACUCCGGGGUAAUGACGGUACCUGAAGAAGAAGCACCGGCUAACUACGUGCCAGCAGCCGCAGUAA